GGGAAAGGGAGGAUAGGGUCUUGCUAAAAGCUGUCCAGGCUGGGUUCUUACUUGCGAUCCUCCUCUCUCAGUGUCCCAGAAGAAAAGUGCAAGUGCAAGUGGCUGUAACUUUGAGCGUUCAUGUGAAUAGUAAUGGUAAAAAACACCAAACUUGGACUUCCUAUAGGGUCAUCGGGGCCGCAAGCCGUGAACUGAUGAAACAUGAUGUCAUAAGGGUGGUAAACUGCACGAAAUUUGAGACAACACCACCAGUUCAAUCCCCUGUGCUUGAUGGCAAAACACAACAAAGGCCACCUGUCAUGCACGUAGUACCGCGUUUUCAAAGCCCGGGACCCGGGGAGGAUCUGCACUCUGCUCCAGUCGACGGAUCGCCCUCUCGACGACACCAACUCAGCACCAUUUUAUGGUGCCCUGAGCUUCUGUCUGCCUCAUACGUGGGGGUGAAAAGAGAAAUGGAAAAAGGCUACGGUCCUGAUGGGGAGCAGGGAAUCAUGCAAAGGGAGACUAACGUAGAGGGAGCGCCGCGAGGCCAGCAACAGAACUGCAGUCCUCUCUUCUUGUCCCAGGGGAGCCAUUCAAGCCCUCCGGGUGAACACCGGAAACACCAUGGUGCCACAUGCUGUAGGUGUGUUUGGUUCCUACCAUAGAGUUUUAGUAAAACCCACAUGGGAAUUUUCUUUUUGUAAUUAAAUAAGAGACAUUGUCCUUGAAAGAAGCUCUUUCUGGCUUCUCUCUGGCAAUUCCAUAUCGGCAGCAGCCCUACCCUUCCACUGUAGGGUCCUCAUUAAGAAAAAGAAGGGUUCCAGGAGGCACCAGCCCCAGAAUACCACCACGGUUGAUCUGAGAACUGUCCUGGCUUCUAGAUGACUAACAGGUGUGUAGUCUGUACAGUGUCAAAAUGUUGGGGAAAGGGACAACUGUCAUCCAGUUGUGCCCCAGCAGGCCAGCGCAAGAUUCCAUCCUGCUCCUCAGAAUGGUGUGCCAUUUAAAACUCCCACUUGGUUAUUUAUGGAAUUUUCCAUGUAGUAUUUUCAGGCCUUGGGUGACUUAAUGUGAGCAAAGGGAGAGCAAGGCAUUCCUUGUCAAGAGUCAAGGACGUAACUCAUACUGAAAAAGAGCAAAACUAACCCAAGUUAUCUUUGCCGAGACCCUUGACUCUAGUAGUUACUUCUUUUGAACUUCUCUCUCUUCCUCCACAUUAUCUGCAGUGUCUCCCCCCACUGACAAGCUGCCAUCCUAUCAAAACAGCUCUCAGGAAGCAUUCUCACAUCUGCACUGCCAGUGUUGCAUCAACAGUCUACUGGAAGAGGCGUGAAAAGUCAGAUCGAAUUCAAAAAGAAAUAAAGCCUUCAAGUGUGUGCCUGGGGUAGCUCCUGACCAAAAAGAAAAAAAUCUGCAGUGGGGCAAACCUCAGGCUCUUUCUCUGUAGCAGUUAGCUUUCUUGUUGCUGACACCCAACACCCAGUGCCUGCAGGUUGAAGAAGGAGAGGGUUAAUUUGGUUCACUCUUUCACUCCCUGGCAUACAUCGGGACAGAACUGUGUAGUAGAGCACAGCUUCUGAGAUCCUGGGGGCUGGAAAAUAAAGGCCGGGAAGAGUAGCAGAGAGAAACGGGCAAAAGACCAGAUAUAGUGCCCAAGGCCACACCCCCAAGACCCACCCAGACACACCUGGGAGCAGGCUUUACUCACCUGUUAGGGGCUAACCCAGGAAAUUCAAUACCAAGAUUAAUAAUCCCAUGUACCUCUCUCCCCC
ensembl:lincRNA